GGUUCCUGCUACUACGGUUGCAUCAGAGGCGGCGUUUAGUGUAGGAGGUAGGGUGAUUGAUGAGACACGUGCUUCAUUACUUCCAGAUAUUGUGGAGGCCUUGAUCACUUGCAAUGAUUGGAUUGAAUCAACCAAAAAUAGAAAUGUAGAAGAAUGCUGACAUGAGUAGAUGGAUUGAACUUUUAUUUCUAUAAAUAUCUUAAUGUGUUCUGUAUGUGGGUUUUGCUUUUCAACUUUUGUUUUAUGUUAUCUUAAGCUGAACUUUUGUCUUUUGUUUUUUGUUAUCUUAAACUGAACUUUUGUUUUCUGUUAAGAGAAGUUAUCUUAAGCUGCAGCCUUGUCACUGUCACAUAUAGGUCAGUAUAUUUCUCAUCUCUGCCUUUUACAAUUUGGGUUUUGUCAUUGUGGUACAUGCACUUUGGAAAUGGUAUAAAGGGGAUAAGUUCACUUGAUUUUGUUUCCUUUUCUCUUACAUCUACAGAAAGUGAAGAAAUUCACUUUGGCAGAACAGAGCAAAGGGCAAGCAGAUUCUAAGAGCAAGAAGGAUGGUUAGAUCUUGAAUGGGUUGGAUACUUGGAGAUAAGAUGAAAACCUUAGUUCUUUCAUUUUUCUUCUAAUUUAGAUAGCAACAACCACUGAGAUUAUACUUCUCAAAUUGUUUGUUCUGUAACUCAAUCUGAAUAUCCAUGGAUAAAUCAGAGUUGACAAUGUUCCUGUUAUUAAUAUCUGACACGAUUUUCAUUCUCUUCAAGCAAAUGAGAAAUGAGAUAUGUGGGAGUGUAAACAAUUAUGAUUAAUGCUUGAUUGUCUUAGUACAAUUUUGAAUGGUAAACCAAAAAACAAUUUUGUUUUGGAUUGGUAAUAUUUAUAGCAUUGGUGUAAUAUUGAAACUUU